CAAGUGAAUGAAGAUGACCAGAUUAUGCACACUCUUUCUGGUUUGGGUUCUGAAUAUGAUUCAGUAAUGGUGACUAUUACUUCCAAACCUGAAGUUUGGAGCCUAGGUGAUGUGAGCUCCUUGCUCUUGAGCUUUGAGC